rnacentral:rRNA from 1 species
AUACGUAGGUGGCAAGCGUUGUCCGGAAUUAUUGGGCGUAAAGCGCGCGCAGGUGGUCCUUUAAGUCUGAUGUGAAAGCCCCCGGCUCAACCGGGGAGGGUCAUUGGAAACUGGGGAACUUGAGUGCAGAAGAGGAUAGUGGAAUUCCAAGUGUAGCGGUGAAAUGCGUAGAGAUUUGGAGGAACACCAGUGGCGAAGGCGACUGUCUGGUCUGUAACGGACACUGAGGCGCGAAAGCGUGGGGAGCAAACAGGAUUAGAUACCCUGGUAGUCCACGCCGUAAACGAUGAGUGCUAAGUGUUGGGGGGUUUCCGCCCCUCAGUGCUGCAGCUAACGCAUUAAGCACUCCGCCUGGGGAGUACGGUCGCAAGACUGAAACUCAAAUGAAUUGACGGGG